UUAAGCGAAUAAGCGUACACGGUGGAUGCCUAGGCAAUCAGAGGCGAUGAAGGACGUGCUAAUCUGCGAAAAGCGUCGGUAAGGUGAUAUGAACCGUUAUACCCGACGAUAUCCGAAUGGGGAAACCCAGUAUCCAAUGGAUACUAUCAUUAACUGAAUCCAUAGGUUAAUGAGGCGAACCGGGAGAACUGAAACAUCUCAGUACCCCGAGGAAAAGAAAUCAACCGAGAUUCCCCUAGUAGCGGCGAGCGAACGGGGAGCAGCCCAGAGUCUUAAUCAAUAGCAGUGUCAGGAGAACGGUCUGGAAAGUCCGGCAGUAAAGGGUGAUAGCCCCGUAUCUGAAGAUGCUGUUAUUGUGAACUCGACGAGUAGGGCGGGACACGUGUUAUCCUGUCUGAAUAUGGGGGGACCAUCCUCCAAGGCUAAAUACUCCUGAUUGACCGAUAGUGAACCAGUACCGUGAGGGAAAGGCGAAAAGAACCCCGGCGAGGGGAGUGAAAAAGAACCUGAAACCGUGUACGUACAAGCAGUAGGAGCCUCUUUAUGGGGUGACUGCGUACCUUUUGUAUAAUGGGUCAGCGACUUAUAUUCUGUAGCAAGGUUAACCGUAUAGGGGAGCCGUAGGGAAACCGAGUCUUAACUGGGCGAAUGAGUUGCAGGGUAUAGACCCGAAACCCGGUGAUCUAUCCAUGGGCAGGUUGAAGGUUGGGUAACACUAACUGGAGGACCGAACCGACUAAUGUUGAAAAAUUAGCGGAUGACUUGUGGAUGGGGGUGAAAGGCCAAUCAAACCGGGAGAUAGCUGGUUCUCCCCGAAAGCUAUUUAGGUAGCGCCUCGUGAACUCAUCUUCGGGGGUAGAGCACUGUUUCGACUAGGGGGUCAUCCCGACUUACCAACUCGAUGCAAACUGCGAAUACCGAAGAAUGUUAUCACGGGAGACACACGGCGGGUGCUAACGUCCGUCGUGAAGAGGGAAACAACCCAGACCGCCAGCUAAGGUCCCAAAGUCAUGGUUAAGUGGGAAACGAAGUGGGAAGGCUCAGACAGCCAGGAUGUUGGCUUAGAAGCAGCCAUCAUUUAAAGAAAGCGUAAUAGCUCACUGGUCGAGUCGGCCCGCGCGGAAGAUGUAACGGGGCUAAACCAUGCACCGAAGCUGCGGCAGCGACACAAGUGUUGUUGGGUAGGGGAGCGUUCUGUAAGCCUGCGAAGGUGUACUGUGAGGUAUGCUGGAGGUAUCAGAAGUGCGAAUGCUGACAUAAGUAACGAUAAUGCGGGUGAAAAACCCGCACGCCGGAAGACCAAGGGUUCCUGUCCAACGUUAAUCGGGGCAGGGUGAGUCGACCCCUAAGGCGAGGCUGAAAAGCGUAGUCGAUGGGAAACGGGUUAAUAUUCCCGUACUGGUGGUAACUGCGAUGGGGGAACGGAGAAGGCUAGGUUGUCCGGGCGACGGUCGUCCCGGUUCAAGCAGGUAGGCAGAGUGAUUAGGCAAAUCCGGUCACUUAAUGCUGAGAUGUGAUGACGAACCACCAAGGUGGUGAAGCAAUUGAUGCCCCGCUUCCAGGAAAAGCCUCUAAGCUUCAGGUUACCAACAAUCGUACCCCAAACCGACACAGGUGGUCAGGUAGAGAAUACUCAGGCGCUUGAGAGAACUCGGGUGAAGGAACUAGGCAAAAUGGUGCCGUAACUUCGGGAGAAGGCACGCUGGCGGUAGGUAAAGUCCCUUGCGGACGGCGCCCAAGCCAGUCGAAGAUACCAGCUGGCUGCAACUGUUUAUUAAAAACACAGCACUGUGCAAACACGAAAGUGGACGUAUACGGUGUGACGCCUGCCCGGUGCUGGAAGGUUAAUUGAUGGGGUAACUAUAACGGUCCUAAGGUAGCGAAAUUCCUUGUCGGGUAAGUUCCGACCUGCACGAAUGGCGUAAUGAUGGCCAGGCUGUCUCCACCCGAGACUCAGUGAAAUUGAACUCGCUGUGAAGAUGCAGUGUACCCGCGGCAAGACGGAAAGACCCCGUGAACCUUUACUAUAGCUUGACACUGAACAUUGAGCCUUGAUGUGUAGGAUAGGUGGGAGGCUUUGAAGUGUGGACGCCAGUCUGCAUGGAGCCAACCUUGAAAUACCACCCUUUAACGUUUGAUGUUCUAACCUAGGCCCAUAAACUGGGUCGGGGACCGUGUCUGGUGGGUAGUUUGACUGGGGCGGUCUCCUCCUAAAGAGUAACGGAGGAGCACGAAGGUUGGCUAAGCAUGGUCGGACAUCAUGCGGUUAGUGCAAAGGCAUAAGCCAGCUUGACUGCGAGAGUGACGGCUCGAGCAGGUACGAAAGUAGGUCUUAGUGAUCCGGUGGUUCUGAAUGGAAGGGCCAUCGCUCAACGGAUAAAAGGUACUCCGGGGAUAACAGGCUGAUACCGCCCAAGAGUUCAUAUCGACGGCGGUGUUUGGCACCUCGAUGUCGGCUCAUCACAUCCUGGGGCUGAAGUAGGUCCCAAGGGUAUGGCUGUUCGCCAUUUAAAGUGGUACGCGAGCUGGGUUUAGAACGUCGUGAGACAGUUCGGUCCCUAUCUGCCGUGGGCGUUGGAAGAUUGAGAGGGGUUGCUCCUAGUACGAGAGGACCGGAGUGAACGCACCACUGGUGUUCGGGUUGUCAUGCCAAUGGCAUUGCCCGGUAGCUAAGUGCGGAAGAGAUAACCGCUGAAAGCAUCUAAGCGGGAAACUUGCCUCGAGAUGAGUCUUCCCUGUCGCUUUAAGCGACCUAAAGGAACGUUUAAGACUAAGACGUUGAUAGGCUGGGUGUGUAAGCGUAGCGAUACGUUGAGCUAACCAGUACUAAUGAACCGUGAGGCUUAACCUG
rnacentral:rRNA from 1 species